rnacentral:misc_RNA from 1 species
GAAAUGCGAUAAGUAGUGUGAAUUGCAGAAUUCAGUGAAUCAUCGAAUCUUUGAACGCACAUUGCGCCCUUUGGUAUUCCAUAGGGCAUGCCUGUUCGAGCGUCGUCUCAAACCUUCAAGCCUAGCUUGGUGUUGGGUGACUGUCCCGCCUUAUGGCGCGGACUCGCCUCAAAGUCAUUGGCAGCAGACUCGGUAGCUAAUUGCGCAGCACAUCGCGCCGGAAGCUCCCCGUCCGCUAUCCACGAGCACAGUCUCAUCAGUUUGACCUCGGAUCAGGUAGGGAUACCCGCUGAACUUAA